rnacentral:rRNA from 1 species
UACGUAGGUGGCAAGCGUUGUCCGGAAUUAUUGGGCGUAAAGCGCGCGCAGGCGGUUUCUUAAGUCUGAUGUGAAAGCCCACGGCUCAACCGUGGAGGGUCAUUGGAAACUGGGAAACUUGAGUGCAGAAGAGGAAAGUGGAAUUCCACGUGUAGCGGUGAAAUGCGUAGAGAUGUGGAGGAACACCAGUGGCGAAGGCGACUUUCUGGUCUGUAACUGACGCUGAGGCGCGAAAGCUAGGGGAG